rnacentral:lncRNA from 1 species
CAGAGAGCCAAUCAGCUUUUCACAAGCUCUUGUUAUCUGAUCUAGAGACAAAGAGGGAGCAUGGGACAGAUCACAUAAAACUACAUUGAAAGCAAAUGAAUCAUCAUCCCAAAAGUACCUGCUAUAGAAAUAGAACAGAGUAGUCUUAAAUAAAUUUACUGGACAAAUCUGCUGUUAUCUCAACCCUCGCAGCCCCAUGUGGGAUGCCAAAUAGGGCAGUUGUGCUUUAAAUCCAGUGGGCAGGGGAGCAGCACAGAGCCACUUACUCAGCCAAACCCCAGUGGGAUCAGGGCAAAAGAAUCAAGAGGGCAAAAGUUAGGAAAUUCAUGGGUUGAAAUAACUACAGUAUAGUAAGCAAAAGGGGGGAAAAAAAAAAGGGGGGGGGUGAUGAAAACGCAACUGGUCACCAAUAUCUGACCCAUGCCCAUCAAGUCCCACAGUUAUUGCAGCCCCCACGGAACUGCACCCCUACUUUUGUUGUACAGCACAAAGCAAGUUUCCAGGUGCACUCAGAAAGGGCAGAAAAGGCACCGAUUUGGAUGAACGAGCCAUUGCCUCCUUGCCAGACACCCCCAAGUCCCAGGUUGUGAGAGAGUCUCCUUAUGCACAGGACACAGGGCUGCAGCACCAGGUCUCCCCAAGGAGCCGCUGGCAGGCAGAGGGGCUCAGGCUGUGUAGCGGUGUAAAAGGAACAACAGUACGGGGGCUGACUUACAGUUAGCAAGCACAUGCAAGAAGAAUGAGCUAAAAGGCUUUGGGAGAGGCUGAUGAUGUUUUCUGGUGCCAUGGGAGCUGUCAGUCAAGGGGGUAAAGCUGCCUGGAGUCAAAGACAAGUAGGGCUUUGCAGGGAGGAUGCUGCCCCUGAGAUACAAGUAAAAAUAAUGCGUGGUGAAGUGUCUUAGUAUCUGUAACUUAAAGUGGGGGCUCUGCACAUGAAAAAGACGCAGCAUGUGAUGAGGCAUGGCCUGGCUAGUCAGAGUGUCUGUCUGUGGGCAAGGCUCAAGUGGCCACAGAAAGCCCACAGGACAGGUCCCAGCUGCACUGCAAGCCUCUGUCCCACCGUCCCCAGCUCAGAGCAAAGCAGACACCUGAAGCAGACGGUGCUCCCCAAAAGCAGCGCCCCAAAAGAUGCUGGGGCAGGCGCCAUGGGCAAGGCUGUCUCCUUCUGGCCCUGCCGUCCUGCUGCUGGCGCUCUCCGCCAGCUUGACCUCCCAGGACAUCUGCAGCUCCCCAGGUACUCGUGAGUCCUUUCCUCCCAGACCCAGGGCACUUUGAAGCCCAACCUCUGUGAGCUCUGCCCUGUGGCAGCCCUUCACUGCUGUGUCUCCUCCAGGGGAUCUCCCGGCUCCUGCUCUCCAACUCAGCACAAGUUCUGCUCAGCCAGGUACCACAGCUGUACUCCAGUGUUUUCUCCAUGUGGUGUCACCCGUCAGACGAAUCAUCUUCUGCAAGGAUGGGGUGGAGGUGUACAGCCAGAAAGCCCAGCAAGGGCAGCUGAGCUACUCUAUGGUCCUGAACAUCACGUCAAGAAGCGCAGGAAGAUAUACAUGUGGGUACCAGCAGAGGACUGAGAUGAAACAAGUGAGGAACUCUGCCCUCAGCGCUGGCCGCAUCCUGGAUGUCCCCGGUGAGACA